UGGAUGCUUCCACAGUCCUCAGCUGCUGCACAAAAUCUCCGCGCAGCAUGACUCCUGGAAGCCAAAGGGAGCUCCCAGCGGCCGGAGGAGGGGCGACGCGCCUGGCUCCACUCGCCAGAGCACGCACUCCCCCGCAGCCUCGGCGGGGCCCGCGGCCUCCGGCAGGAACACACAUGGAGUAGGAUGGUGCUGGCUGGUCCUGAGGGGAAUUCAGCCUGUGUGGAUAUUAGCUGAAGUGUGAGGAGCUGAGCUAAUCCCACAAAUGCAAUUUAAGGAAGCCUGGAAAUGAGAUAGUGGUGACAAUCUCUAAUUACUGUUGACAGCGAAGAGGAAGAAGCAUAAUAGGAGAGCCAGAAUCCUGCCCCGCCCCCACCCUGCUGUUGAUGAAAACAGAACAGCAACAGCUGCCUCUUACAGCAGAGUCCUGUUUCCAUCCACAUGGGUACCAGACUGCACUCCAAGGAGAUGAAGCAAAGUCUGUUUUUCUAAACAUCAAAAAAAUUGUGUGUGUGUCCAA